rnacentral:rRNA from 1 species
GAUGAACGCUGGCGGCGUGCCUAAUACAUGCAAGUCGAGCGAACGGACGAGAAGCUUGCUUCUCUGAUGUUAGCGGCGGACGGGUGAGUAACACGUGGAUAACCUACCUAUAAGACUGGGAUAACUUCGGGAAACCGGAGCUAAUACCGGAUAAUAUUUUGAACCGCAUGGUUCAAAAGUGAAAGACGGUCUUGUUGUCACUUAUAGAUGGAUCCGCGCUGCAUUAGCUAGUUGGUAAGGUAACGGCCUACCAAGGCAACGAUGCAUAGCCGACCUGAGAGGGUGAUCGGCCACACUGGAACUGAGACACGGUCCAGACUCCUACGGGAGGCAGCAGUAGGGAAUCUUCCGCAAUGGGCGAAAGCCUGACGGAGCAACGCCGCGUGAGUGAUGAAGGUCUUCGGAUCGUAAAACUCUGUUAUUAGGGAAGAACAUAUGUGUAAGUAACUGUGCACAUCUUGACGGUACCUAAUCAGAAAGCCACGGCUAACUACGUG